GGUGGAUGCCUUGGCGCCAGGAGUCGAUGAAGGACGUGGACGGCUGCGAUAAGCCCCCGGGGGAGUUGCUGAACAAACUUUGAUCCGGGGAUUUCCGAAUGGGGGAACCCACGCGUGGUAAUGCGCGCGUACUCCCCGUCUGAACACAUAGGGCGGGUAGAGACAAGCCGGGGAAGUGACACAUCUCAGUACCCCGGAGGAAAGUAAAGAAACCUCGACUCCCCUGAGUAGUGGCGAGCGAAAAGGGGAUCAGCCUAAAACCGGUUGGGUGUUAGUUGCCUGCGGGUCCAGCCCAGCCGGGGUUGUAGGAACAGCAUGGCCGUACCGCAGUGCGGCCGGGGAGUUACAAAACUGAUGGAUAGUCGAGCGGCUUGGAACGGCCGGCUACAAAGGGUAAGAGCCCCCGUAGACGAAAUCCAGCAGUCUCCCUCGCUGUCUCCUGAGUACGACCGGGGCACGUGAAACCCCGGUUGGAAUCCACGGGGACCACCCCGUAAGGCUAAGUACUACCUGGCGACCGAUAGUGAACGUAGUACCGUGAGGGAAAGGUGAAAAGCACCCGGAGGGAGUG
rnacentral:rRNA from 1 species